AUCGGGCUCGGCGUGCGCUCGGAGGGCGCAGAGCCUUUCACCGGAGCCCAGAAGGGGGCCUGGGCCAUCAACCUGCCCUUUCUGACCCAGAGCCCCUGAGAACCCGCACUCUUUCCUCCUGCACCGGGAUAAGAUGCUCCUCACCGGCUUCCACGACACUUUGAAUGGCACGAAGACCCAUUUCCCUCCGGGGUGCUCGGCAUGGGUAAACUCCAAGUUAGAGAUCUUCUUGAUUUACCAUGAGAGCCACGUUGUGUAUUAAAAACUGCUGAUCAACUUAAUGCCAGCUGGAUUACAUCAGCAUGGUGCUGAGUGUAGAUGUCCCACCUGAGGAAAGUUGCCAGCAUAAAUAGAGACGUGGAGAAGGAGAAGCUAGGCAUUAAGGUACAUUGAGGGGUUGAGGCAUUGUGGGUUCUCCUAUGAGCUGCUGUUUGAGCCGUUCAUUCUCUUGGAGAAGCUCUGGUCCUCACAUCGAGCAUUGCUUCCUGGCUCCGGAGGGGAAGAUGUGCGCCGCUUGGUCUUCAGGAUGAACUUGUCACACUGGCUUCCUGACACAUACCCAACUGUGCUUAUCAUCACAGGAACUUGGGGCCUUGAUGUUGCUGAGGAUGGCUGUGGUGCUUUUCAGGACAGCCCUGGUCUUUGUUGUGAGGGUGACUUUUUGGCUCUAGCGUAGAACCCUCAACCUACCAGCACAGCUCCUUCACCCUGCUGGCAUAGACUUCCUAGCUUCUACCGCUGACCUUUGGGCCUUCCUGGCACGGAUCCAUAAAAGAGACUGGCGUGAGUCCUUUUGUGAGCUCUGGAGCUCUAGUUGGACUCAUGGGAAGCAUUGUCAUGAGCUCUGGUCUUCAUCUGGACUCAUGUGGGAUACUGCUGUGGGAUUCAGGCCCUUGGCUAAAUAUUCUGUCUCUGCUGUUGUGGAUAGAUUUCCUGCAUUUUCUUGUGUUAUCUCCCAGUGACCAUCAUAAAACAAUAUUAUAAACUCCA